UCUCAGGUGGCUCAGUGGUAAAGAAUCUGUCUGUAAUGCAGAAGACCCCAGUUCAAUCCCUGGGUCUGGGAG
rnacentral:tRNA from 1 species